rnacentral:rRNA from 1 species
GAGUUUGAUCAUGGCUCAGAUUGAACGCUGGCGGCAUGCCUUACACAUGCAAGUCGAACGGCAGCAUGAUCUAGCUUGCUAGAUUGAUGGCGAGUGGCGAACGGGUGAGUAAUACAUCGGAACGUGCCCUGUAGUGGGGGAUAACUAGUCGAAAGAUUAGCUAAUACCGCAUACGACCUGAGGGUGAAAGUGGGGGACCGCAAGGCCUCAUGCUAUAGGAGCGGCCGAUGUCUGAUUAGCUAGCUGGUGAGGUAAAGGCUCACCAAGGCGACGAUCAGUAGCUGGUCUGAGAGGACGAUCAGCCACACUGGGACUGAGACACGGCCCAGACUCCUACGGGAGGCAGCAGUGGGGAAUUUUGGACAAUGGGGGCAACCCUGAUCCAGCAAUGCCGCGUGUGUGAAGAAGGCCUUCGGGUUGUAAAGCACUUUUGUCCGGAAAGAAAUCGCACUUACUAAUAUUAGGUGUGGAUGACGGUACCGGAAGAAUAAGGACCGGCUAACUACGUGCCAGCAGCCGCGGUAAUACGUAGGGUCCAAGCGUUAAUCGGAAUUACUGGGCGUAAAGCGUGCGCAGGCGGUUGUGCAAGACCGAUGUGAAAUCCCCGGGCUUAACCUGGGAAUUGCAUUGGUGACUGCACGGCUAGAGUGUGUCAGAGGGGGGUAGAAUUCCACGUGUAGCAGUGAAAUGCGUAGAGAUGUGGAGGAAUACCGAUGGCGAAGGCAGCCCCCUGGGAUAACACUGACGCUCAUGCACAAAAGCGUGGGGAGCAAACAGGAUUAGAUACCCUGGUAGUCCACGCCCUAAACGAUGUCAACUAGUUGUUGGGGAUUCAUUUCCUUAGUAACGUAGCUAACGCGUGAAGUUGACCGCCUGGGGAGUACGGUCGCAAGAUUAAAACUCAAAGGAAUUGACGGGGACCCGCACAAGCGGUGGAUGAUGUGGAUUAAUUCGAUGCAACGCGAAAAACCUUACCUACCCUUGACAUGCCACUAACGAAGCAGAGAUGCAUUAGGUGCUCGAAAGAGAAAGUGGACACAGGUGCUGCAUGGCUGUCGUCAGCUCGUGUCGUGAGAUGUUGGGUUAAGUCCCGCAACGAGCGCAACCCUUGUCUCUAGUUGCUACGAAAGGGCACUCUAGAGAGACUGCCGGUGACAAACCGGAGGAAGGUGGGGAUGACGUCAAGUCCUCAUGGCCCUUAUGGGUAGGGCUUCACACGUCAUACAAUGGUGCAUACAGAGGGUUGCCAAGCCGCGAGGUGGAGCUAAUCCCAGAAAAUGCAUCGUAGUCCGGAUCGUAGUCUGCAACUCGACUACGUGAAGCUGGAAUCGCUAGUAAUCGCGGAUCAGCAUGCCGCGGUGAAUACGU